rnacentral:rRNA from 1 species
CGUCCUACGGGGGGCAGCAGUAAGGGAUAUUGGUCAAUGGGGGAAACCCUGAACCAGCAACGCCGCGUGAGGGAAGACGGUUUUCGGAUUGUAAACCUCUGUCCUCUGUGAAGAUGAUGACGGUAGCAGAGGAGGAAGCCACGGCUAACUACGUGCCAGCAGCCGCGGUAAUACGUAGGUGGCGAGCGUUGUCCGGAUUUACUGGGCGUAAAGGGAGCGUAGGCGGACUUUUAAGUGAGAUGUGAAAUACUCGGGCUCAACUUGAGUGCUGCAUUUCAAACUGGAAGUCUA